CCAUAUUGAACCCACCGCACAUAAACAUUUCAUUAAUUUCAUCUUAUAAAUACACUUUUUCUUAUCUUGGUCCCUGAUGUUUCUGUUCUGCAGUUGUCCAUUUGUCAGCUGCCUGGGUUUAAUUUAUUCAUUAUCUUCCAUCCUCUCUGCGCGGAGGCUGCUGAUUCUUCUGCCCUGACUACAGUAAUGGGCACAUUUUUUCUCUGGACAGUAGUUUGCUUUAAAUUAAUAAGGACUGUGAUUCCUCUUCACUGUUUCACGUGCAGUGAUGUAUGAACUGAAAACAGGGCACAGUCAAAACAGAAAGACUGUGCAGAAAGAGCUUAUUUCCUUCUCAUUGUUUAGUUACAAAUCAGGCCAAAGGUGAAGCUGGCGUUCAUAAUAAAAGCCGUUAACUAAAAUCAAACCUAUAUUUAUUCUUCUAUUCUUGUUUAAACAGCAGUUUGUUGCCUUCACAUCCUGCUUCUCACCUGUUCCCCUCUCAGACCCGUUCAUCCAGACUUUUUCCACCGGCCUGCCUUCCUGCCAGUUUCCCACCUCCUGCCUGGUUCUGGCCUCUGUGUUCACCCGCCUCCUGCCAGGUCCGUUUCCAGCCGCUAACUUCACCCGUCCGUCCUUUCCUGCCUGCGCCUGCAAGGUAGCUGGUGGAGACGCGUCCUCGUGUGCGGAGCUCUGGAACCUGGAGCAGCUGAGGUGGAUGCGCUGCAGGACUGAAGCACAAACUCAGGGACACCCGGAUCAGUGCAGCCUCACGGCCCGUCGCGCUGAUAAGUGGGAGAACAGCAGGACUCCAGGAAUUCCUCUCUGCAUUAAUGGCCUCACGCUCCCACGUUGGACGUUUCCUUUAUGGUUUCUCUUUGGGAACGUUGAUCCCGUCCUGGCGCUGAAACAGAACCAGACUGGUCACAGACGGACUCCACGCCGUCUGCAUGAUUCAUGAAGUGUUUCAUUCCAGACUAAGAUUAAGCUGAUCGUUGCAACCAACGUAUUCCAUUGGUGGAGAAGGCUGGGAUUCUUCAGGAGCUUCCAGGAGGUCUGGCUUUGCUCACGCUCACUAAGAACUGGAGGCGCUCGUCAUGAAGCAGCAGGAAUUAAAAGUGUUUGAGUUGGAAGAACAACCCUUAAUGUGGAUAUUAAUUUCUUGCCUGAAUCUCUGUUUAUUUCAUGUGUUACAUGGGUACAUGACAAAGAAACAUAGAGGUUUGAAAGAAAUUACUUAGGAUCAAAGUUAUCUACUUUAAUCUUUAAAAGCACAUCUUGUUUUGAGUUCUGUCGUAAAGAUCAGGGUAAUGAUGAUGAGAUCAGAACGUGCGCAGAAAUCGCUCCAUUUAAAAAAGUCCAUUUAUCUGCAUGAAUUAUGGUGAAGGGCCGUUCUGUAACAUGGAGGCAGAGCCGACUAGAGCUGCUUCAGUCCUGUAGAGUUGUGUGGCCAGGAGGAACCAGCAAAUGAAACGACAACAUUAAAACUCAUUUUCUUCUCAGUUUCCUUCAGUUUGUUCCAACCACAGAAAAACAAACGAGCCGUUUACAGCCUCCAAAUAGCUUUAUUGUUCUUGCGACUGUCCCUAAAGGUUCAACAUGUGGGAAUGAAAGCUGUGGCUCCCUGCAGCCUCUGUGUUGGGUUCAAAGCCUCGGUGGCAGCAGCUGCUGAAACUCAUCCUCUGCUCCCACGCUGGUUAAAUCCUGAUGAUGGAUUAUGCUCAGUUGUUUUAUGGGACCUUAGUUAGAUCAGUACAAAUGGGAGCGUGGAGGUGUUUGUCCAAACGUAGCUUAAAGAUGUUCACCGUCACAAAUACUGAGCAGCGCUGCAGAUGUGUCACCAAAACCCAUCAGCGUUUUCUUUUCAUGUUUUUUUCCCGUGUGUUCAGUGCUCAGCUGAUUAGACUUUUACUGUAACAGUAGCUAAAUGGAUGAAGCCUGUGGCGAAGCAGAAAACCCUGCAGGCAAAGAGCCAAAGGCAGUGUUAG
rnacentral:lncRNA from 1 species